rnacentral:misc_RNA from 1 species
GCCUCUUUCAGAUCUCACUUUGUGCCCUCCACAUCUGAGAAAAUGGGGGCAUACAGAGCCGACGACGAUUACGAUUACUUGUUCAAGGUGGUGUUGAUUGGUGAUUCCGGUGUCGGAAAGUCUAAUCUUCUUUCUAGAUUCAGUCGUAAUGAGUUCAGCCUUGAGUCUAAGUCUACUAUCGGUGUUGAGUUCGCUACUCGAAGCAUUCAUGUGGAGGAUAAGGUUGUUAAAGCUCAGAUUUGGGAUACU